CCAGACUCCUACGGGAGGCAGCAGUGAGGAAUAUUGGUCAAUGGGCGGGAGCCUGAACCAGCCAAGUCGCGUGAGGGAAGACGGUCCUAUGGAUUGUAAACCUCUUUAGGCGGGGAGCAAUGCCGGGCACGCGUGUCCGGAGGGAGAGUACCCGCAGAAUAAGCACCGGCUAACUCCGUGCCAGCAGCCGCGGUAAUACGGAGGGUGCAAGCGUUACUCGGAAUCACUGGGCGUAAAGCGUUCGUAGGCGGCAAGGUAAGUCUGAUGUUAAAGCCCGGGACUCAACUCCGGUUCGGCAUUGGAUACUAUCUAGCUAGAAUGUGGUAGAGGUAAAGGGAAUUCCUGGUGUAGCGGUGAAAUGCGUAGAUAUCAGGAGGAACAUCGGUGGCGAAAGCGCUUUACUGGACCAUUAUUGACGCUGAGGAACGAAAGCCAGGGGAGCAAAUGGGAUUAGAUACCCCCGUAA
rnacentral:rRNA from 1 species